rnacentral:rRNA from 1 species
UAGGGAAUCUUCGGCAAUGGGGGCAACCCUGACCGAGCAACGCCGCGUGAGUGAAGAAGGUUUUCGGAUCGUAAAGCUCUGUUGUAAGAGAAGAACGUGUGUGAGAGUGGAAAGUUCACACAGUGACGGUAACUUACCAGAAAGGGACGGCUAACUACGUGCCAGCAGACGCGGUAAUACGUAGGUCCCGAGCGUUGUCCGGAUUUAUUGGGCGUAAAGCGAGCGCAGGCGGUUUAAUAAGUCUGAAGUUAAAGGCAGUGGCUUAACCAUUGUUCGCUUUGGAAACUGUUAAACUUGAGUGCAGAAGGGGAGAGUGGAAUUCCAUGUGUAGCGGUGAAAUGCGUAGAUAUAUGGAGGAACACCGGUGGCGAAAGCGGCUCUCUGGUCUGUAACUGACGCUGAGGCUCGAAAGCGUGGGGAGCAAACAGG